rnacentral:rRNA from 1 species
UAGGGAAUAUUGGGCAAUGGAGGGAACUCUGACCCAGCCAUGCCGCGUGUAGGAAGACGGCCCUCUGGGUUGUAAACUACUUUUAUAAGGGAAGAAAAAGGUGCUUGCGAGCACUGUUGACGGUACCUUACGAAUAAGCAUCGGCUAACUCCGUGCCAGCAGCCGCGGUAAUACGGAGGAUGCAAGCGUUGUCCGGAAUUACUGGGUUUAAAGGGUGCGUAGGCGGGUAGGUAAGUCAGAAUUGAAAGGCAUGAGCUUAACUGAUGCAUGGUUCUGAUACUGCUUAUCUUGAGUAUUAUGAAAGCAGAUGGAAUUGGUAGAGUAGCGGUGAAAUGCAUAGAUACUACCAAGAACACCAAUAGCGAAGGCAGUCUGCUUUGUGAUAACUGACGCUGAGGCACGAAAGCGUGGGUAGCGAACAGGAUUAGAUACCCCCGUAGUCC